CUUACAGUCCCACCGCACUAAAUCAACAGCUACUUCCUCUUAAGGACAUUCAGGGAUAGCGUCUGUCUCUACGGGCAGAAGUCUGUCGCGGGAGAAGUAGUGGACAAGCUGCUACAUGUUACCCGCGCAGUGAAGUGUUCAAGGCCUGUUCAGACAGAUGUGCAAGAUAGCCUUUUGUUAUUUUUCUAUAGGGACAGUAUUAGAGUGAGAGAUAGUA